CUGAAAUCUAACUCUAAAGUAUAUUAAAAAAAAUACAUUUGACUAUGCAGAUGUAAGAUAUAAUACUUCAAGCAUGACAUAACGAUUUAAAUGUGCCGCUUUGAUUACGAUCGAUAACCCUAAAAUAAUCAUGCAUGCAAUUUUAGCAGACUUAACUGGGUCAACGAUAAGACAUCAAAUGUCUAUUUAUAGACACCGAGUGAUGAUAGAUGAAGACAGAGAUAAGAAAAAAAAUUCUAUUAUAUAGUUAUGGUCAGGGAACGGAUCAUCUAACUAUAUGUUCCUGUUGUAAAUAAGGCUCUUCAAAAUAUUCGUCAAAAUAAAAAUAAAUAAUUA
rnacentral:lncRNA from 1 species